GGCGUGCGUCAGGUGCGGGCUAAGAGCGCAGUGUGUUGUUGUGUGUGGUGUCCAGGUGUGCGUGCUGCUCUCAUGGGAUGCACGGUGGGAGGUGGCAGGAGGUUAGUGACACGGUGAGGGUUCUCCGCGGUGGGCAUGGGGUCGGGGUCCUGCCACCAAGACAAGCCGGGGCAGAACCUCGGCUUGUCACCACCUGCCCCGGACCGACCUGCGGGGCAUUCUGGGAAGCGGGCCUCGCCCACCGCGGGGGCUGACAGGAGCUGAGGAGGCGGCGCUGGAAGUGGAGGGGUGCCCCGGGCGCGGCGUGGCUCAUCGCUGCUCGCCUGCUGGGCUGGCGCUGUAAGAGCCCCUCCGUGGCUAAAUUGUCCUGUUUAACGGCUCUGGUUGAUCGAGCGCGGUGCCCUCCACGUGUAUUUCCCCGUCUGAUCCUCAGGGCCGGCCUCUGAGGGGAGUUCCUCUCCCCACCGCACAGGCUUGCUCGCGAGUUCAGAAAGGGAUCCACACACUUUUCCCCACUUCCUACCGCUGCCACGCCACAGCCUUUAUGAUUCAAGUGCCACUACUGAUUCAGCGCCCAUCUGAUUGAAACAGCUCCUCUUUGCUAAGCAAGGUCCCAGGAAGCAGAAGUAGCUGGGCUCGUUACAUCUGAGCUGACCUUGGUCAGGUGUCCAUCUUCGAGUAAUCAUCUGGUCCCCUGGAGGGCAGGUUUUGAGGCUCAGAGUGCAGCUGCUGUGCAGAGGACAGCUCUCCUGCCCCGCCCAGCCCGGGGGCACCCUGUGCGGUCCAGAGGCCACGGCCUGCUGUGCAGGCUGCAGAAGGGAUGCCCACCCCGGCCUCAUCAACCAGAUGCCGAACUCCAAAAGCUGUUCCGACGGCUCAGAAGCAGCGGCUGCAUCUCCAGGAAGGCAGGUGCCCAUUUCUCUCUUUGGGGAGGAAACCAGCACAGUUUCAGAUCCUCUAGUUCAUUUCCUAGAAUUUUAGAAAGACAGAACAGUUAAAGAUCUGACUCUUACAGAAAAUCAAGUACCAGCCCGUCGCCCACCAGCCCACCGGUUUUACAGAUGAGGAAACUGAGGCCUAGAGAGGAGAAAGGGACUGCCUGCGGUCACACAGACAAUUAGAGGCACUGCGAGGUUUGGGAACAGAGGGCCCGACUCUGCAUCCAGUGCUCUCUGCUCUGAACCAGGGCGUGGAGGUCAUGAUGGUGACCUAGAUGUGGCUCUGGGGCCAGAGAGGGGAGAGCAGGGCAGGAGCUGGAGGCAGGGUCAGAGCCAGGGCAGGGUGGGGGCAGCUACCUACACCUGUCCCAGCUGCUGGGUCAUAAAUCCUCCAGGAAUUCCAGAUAUUCCACUCACGUCUAAAUUCCCUGCUUGGAAGCAAACUGGCCAGCGUGGGUUUCAGGGAGGCCUCGGCCCAGAGAAGAGACGCAUGUCGUGGAGAGAAACGGCCUGACUAAGGGAGGGGUUGCCAGGCCACCAGGUUCAGGGGACCUCCAUGGAGAGAGCUGUCCCAGCCCUGUCAUCCCAGGGGCCCAGGGUGACUUCUAGCAGUGACUCAGCUAAGCAAUGUUCAGCGGGCAAUGUUCCUGGGAGCCCAGCCAGAGUGCGGAGGGGGGGCAGCAGGCCCAGACCCCGCCGUUUCCUGGACAAAGGGUGGGAGGUGCUCCUCUGGCCUCCUGGGACACUGACUCACCUUUGGAAGCUGCUUUGAGAGUUUACCAGAACUUGAUUUUAUCUGCAUAAAAUCCUUAGGAGAGUCCCACCAUGGGAUUUAGCCUCUAAAAUUCCUUUCUAGAUACCCCUGAGACCCUGGCCCACCCCCAGCCAGGGAUCUCUGAGGGGUGAGGGGCACACACAUUCCUUUCUCCUGAGGCGGAAGAAGACAAAAAUAGUUCACGUACUAGAGCAGACAAACCUGAAUUAAAUGAUGAAAUAACAAAAUGAUGAAAUAACAAACCCGCCUCUUACAUCAAUGAGUGGGUGCCUUCAGGUUCCUUGGCUCCUGGUAAUCCUCGCAGCACCCCUGUGAGUAGGUUUUAUAAGUCUCCUUUUACAGAUAGGGAAACUGAGGCCCCGGGAAGUGGUGUCACUUUUUCCAGGACAUAGGAAAGAACCCAAGGCCAGGGAUCCAUGGCUAUUGGUCUGGACAAAGCGACGCCACCCGUUUCAGGCAUCACCCUGAGGGCCCAGCUGCCACCCCCACCCUGCCCUAGGCCCCCCUCCCCAGGCCUCCUCUGGACAGCUGACUGGCUUUUCAAUCACAAACCCAUUCGAAGAGAAAUUGAAAACCACUGGUAAGUCAGUAUUUCUUCAGGCUUUGGGGAUCGCACCUCUCAGUAAGAAAUGCAUCUACCACCACAGUGCAGUACCCAGACUCACAAACAUAACUCAUAGCACUUAGAAUAAUUUGUCAUUAUUUUAUUUGUCUGCUUACAAAUAUGUAAAGCCAAACGCAAGUCUCAUGGAAUAAUGGGUCCCCUCACUCCCUGAGACGCACCCGGGCAUCUUUUCUCUUCCGCUCUGUGUUGUUAUUCUUGAAAGGUGCUCGUGUGACUCCCUAAAUUGACUCCAUGACUGAAGUUUGAGAGGCACCUCGGUGGAUGGCAGCGGGGUCCCCACCCUUGUCGGCAGGUGGGCGGAGCCGGCAGUGAGCACAGGGCUCCGCGUGUGUGCCCCCUGUGCCUGGCAUCGAACUGCGCCCUCCGGGCCCACAGGGAAAGACACAGCUGCCUGGAACUUGCCCUCCAGUCAUUUAUAAGCCGAGGAACAAGCCUUCUCACACACCAAACAAGGCUGACACAAAGUCAAGGCCGAAAGGAUUGGCGCCUCUUAAGGACUGUAUUUGUCUGCCCCGGCUGCCAUGACAAAGUACCACAGACGGGGUGGUUCAAACAAGUUGACCUUCUCACAGCUCUGGAGGCUGGAGGUCCAAAAUGGAGGUGCCAGAAGGCCUGAUUUCUCCUGGCCCCCUCUCCUUGGAGUGCAGACAGCCGUGCCCUUGCUGCCUCUUCACAUGGCCGUCCCUCUGUGCACGCGCCCUGGUGGCUCUCUCUGUGUUCUGAUAGCCUCCUCUUCCCAGGACACCAUUUUCACUGUGUCAGGGCCCACCCUAACGGCCUCAUUUUAACUUACUUCCCUCUUUAAAGGCCCUCUCUCCAGAUACAGUCACAUUCUGGCACUGGGGGUUAGGGCUUCAACAUAGGAAUCUGAGGGGACACAAUUCAGUCCAUAACAAGGACCUACUGUGUGUGCAGCACAUUAGCUCGUCUUCACACCCACCCCUGCCGGGCGCUGUGGGCCUUACUCCUGUUUGAAAGACGGUGGAGUGGUGUUGGACCAGGCUGCAGUGGCUCUCGGUCCGCGGCUGACAGUAAUGGCGCAGCAUUCGAGGCCAUGCUCUGCCCUCUGGCAUGUCGCCUUUCGUGGGAGAAGCAGGUGGAGCCGGGCUGAGUCUUAAAAAGCCGUCCUUCGGAUGAGUCGGGGGUGAGUGGGGCCGGAGGAGCCGGGGAGGCGGUGCCAGGGCAGGAGAGAUGGAAGAAGAGGAGACAGCCUUCCAGGUAAGGGCGGGAGAGCUGCAGGGCCCUCCUGAGGACUCAGUCCAGCCCGCCCACUUCACUGGUGAGGAAACUGAGGCUCGGAGAGGAGGAAGCGAUGCAACGGUCCACUUGGUGUAUCUGCCUGUGAGUCUUGUCUUCUCUCUUCAAGGCCAGGCGGUGGCGUGGGUUUCUCUCUGCUCCCCAUAGGGCCCAGCAGGCCCUUCAGAGAGGAGACUCAGGUGUGGACAGGAGACAGCGGGAGGAAAUGGGACAGUGGGGGUUCUCAACUUGACGCCCCGACGCCGAACAGUGUUUUUUCACAGAGAGAGACACCCUUCAGCCAGCAUGGAGUCAGCAUCAGAGGGUCUUUCUCCCUCUGGACCCCUCUUCCCUGUUCUCCCGGCAUGCCCUGGAAUUCCCCAGAUCCUCCCACGUUUCUUCAAGUGAGGUUUUUGCUGGACAAACCGAUCUCUCUUUGACUGAAAUCGAUCACCUCUCCAAGUGUUAUUUUGCUAAAAGACUUGCCCAGUGGUGUGCUGGCAAGUGCUGGACAACCAGCUCUCCAGGGGAAAAAAAGAUUAGAGAGAUCAAUAACUUCUAAAGAACCAAUAAUAAUAAAAUUGUAGUAAAGUAACUAGGAACUGAUGAGUUUUGAGUAUAUGCUACUUUUGUUUUUAAUAUAAUUUGUGAGUUUGUGUCAUGCAUUCUCAGCGGGGGCGAAAUUGGUUCUUGGUGGGGGACAAACCAUUCUUACUCUCUGUAUGUAUAAAGCACAAUUUACAUCCAGUACAUAAACGGACAUACACUAUGUCUGUGAUAUUAAAAUUUCAUGGGGAGAAUGGUAGGAGAUUAGGGGGAGAAUGUCUGAAAGGGCUCCUUAGGGGGGAAUAAUGAACAAAGAUUGAGAAAUAUUGGCGCAUAUAAUUUAAUUUCUAAUGAUGGCUAUGUUGAACAACCAGCUCACAAAAUACCUGAAUAUUUAACAGUGGGCUCUUGCGAGCCUGUGUGAGCUGGCCCCGCACACCCCCAGACCUGCCCACCUGGGGUGAGGUGGAGGGAACGAGGUGGAGGGGGGAGGGAGCAACCCCCUCUGCCACCCAAGCAGUACACCAGGCUAGUAAGAAAGAUGUCGUGCGAGAGGUGUUGGGGGCAAAGAGGGUCUCUGGGGCCCCACAAAUCAGUGGGAGCUGCCCCUCUGUCAGCCACUGAGUCCCUGCCCAAGACACUGGGUCCUGGCCAUGUCAUCCUCUCAGGUGAUUCCCUGUCCUCCAAUGGCCCCCAGGCCCAGUCAGCACGGCAGAUGGGUGGUGGCAUCCUGCAGGGCGCCCCAGCCCCACAGGGCGCAACAGAGGUUUGUGCAC
ensembl:lncRNA